UAACAAAAAUGAGAGAGGGCAAUAAGAGAGAGGGAGGAGCAGCCGAGCAUGGGACGAAAUACUACCCCCUUCCCCUCCUUGAUGUCAUAUCUCGCGUUAGUAUCAUACCGUUUUCUUGGCGCACCGAAACAACAAAUUUCCAGUCACGCUUCGUCGCUCUUGUUAUCUUGACUGUGCUGGUGCACACGCGCACACACGCACAUGAGCCGUGAAGAAAUAUUAAGCGCAAAGCAGAAUGUUUGAAAUCACCAACUUUCCUUUUUUCUCUAAGUGUCUUCUAUGUGUGCGCGUGUAUUAUCGCGUAUGCUUGUGUGUGUGUGUGUGUGUGUGGGGGGGGGGGGGGGGGGGGGGGGGGCUGUGUGGGCUCUUCCAUGUGUUUUCAUCCUCUUUGUUGGCGUUCUCGCUCGCUCUCUCCUGGCGUGGUUGUUGUUGUGGUUCUCAGAUUGUUUUUUGUAUGUGCUCUGUUGCUGGCCAUUUCUCUUCAUAUAAGGAACGCCCCUUCUAGACCCUCCUCCUCCUGCUCGUGUGCUCGCCAACGACAACCGCCUCGAGCUGAUCACCAUCACCGUCCGCUUUUCUUUCCCCCCUUCCUCCCUCGAUCUGCCGCAGCCAUGUGCACUUCGUAUGCUGCUAGUAGAAGUGUUCUCCCCUUCGUUGAGUGCCGCACUCGCGAAUACGUGGAGGGGAUGUGGGCCUGGGGGGAAGAAGUACGUCUGUGUAGGAACGUCUGCGCACCUAGCCAGGGCUAAGGAUUACAACCGAUAAGAGCGACAUUUGAGACAUGUACGGCACAUAGACACAAGCGUUUGAGUGCGUGUGCGUGUUUUUUCGCGCGUCUUUGUGAACGGAGCGGGUGGAUGGCCAGCAGAGUAGGCGCAGCAGCUGCUGCUGCUUUCCUUCUCUCUCCUCACACACGCAGACCCGCCCCCCCCCCCCACCACCCUGCAUGUGCGUCAGGGAGAGAGGUGAAACCGCGUUGUACAGUGGCUGUGGGUGAAGGCGAAGACAACGGAGGGAUCUCUUCCGCCUUCGGACCUCCUCACCUACGGCCUCCCUCAUGCACUCACGAUACAUAAGCACAUCAAUCCUCCUCCCUUCAUCCAUCUCUUUUCCCCACUCUCAUCAUAUGCGUCCGCCCCUCGCACCUCUCCCCUCCCGUGCCUAUCAG
rnacentral:misc_RNA from 1 species